UCCCUGUCACAUUCAAAAUUUGAGCAUGGCAAUGGAGUGCAACUAUUGUUGCUAUGUCCUGACACCCAUGUGAAUAGCUCAUCUCCCUUUAGCUUGCAGCCUGCAAGGCUAUCAUGGAGUAAUCUGCGAUAAUCCGGCAAGUAGUGACUGAGGGAUGGCUCAGGCUACUAACAGAGCAGACAAGGU
rnacentral:SRP_RNA from 1 species